rnacentral:tRNA from 1 species
GUUGUGGCUCAGUGUUAGAGUGCUUGCCUGGCACUUGUGAGGCAUUGGGUUCAAUCCUCAGCACAACA